CUGUUCUCUUUAGUGCACUAUUCUAAUUUGUGCUUAUUCCCAAAUGUACCCUGUACAGGAGCAGAACGCAUAUCCCAGGAUUCCAGGCUUUAGCCACUUACAUAAUGCAGAGAGGCACUGCACAAAGGCAUUUGAUGGAUCAGAGGCAUUAGCUUCUUUCUGCUGAUGUACAGAAUGAGGCGACAAGAGAAUGCCGUGUAAAAUUCCUGAUGCUUCUGCAGGCCAAAUGAGAAUCACAGCAAAUGAAGCCAAACGCAAGUAAAUCCUGGUGCCUAUUCACGUCAAAACAAAAACAAAGGCGGCAAUAAAGAUGAAUCAUAACAAGAUACAGACACAAGAUGGCAUAACUUCACAUUUACAGAAGUGCACUUUUAGCGAAGGUCUGUUGAUAGAAUGGAAGACAUCGCGGAGAGCUUUUCCACUG